GUCGAACGGCAGCACGGGUGCUUGCACCUGGUGGCGAGUGGCGAACGGGUGAGUAAUACAUCGGAACAUGUCCUGUAGUGGGGGAUAGCCCGGCGAAAGCCGGAUUAAUACCGCAUACGAUCUACGGAUGAAAGCGGGGGACCUUCGGGCCUCGCGCUAUAGGGUUGGCCGAUGGCUGAUUAGCUAGUUGGUGGGGUAAAGGCCUACCAAGGCGACGAUCAGUAGCUGGUCUGAGAGGACGACCAGCCACACUGGGACUGAGACACGGCCCAGACUCCUACGGGAGGCAGCAGUGGGGAAUUUUGGACAAUGGGCGAAAGCCUGAUCCAGCAAUGCCGCGUGUGUGAAGAAGGCCUUCGGGUUGUAAAGCACUUUUGUCCGGAAAGAAAUCCUUGGCUCUAAUACAGUCGGGGGAUGACGGUACCGGAAGAAUAAGCACCGGCUAACUACGUGCCAGCAGCCGCGGUAAUACGUAGGGUGCAAGCGUUAAUCGGAAUUACUGGGCGUAAAGCGUGCGCAGGCGGUUUGCUAAGACCGAUGUGAAAUCCCCGGGCUCAACCUGGGAACUGCAUUGGUGACUGGCAGGCUAGAGUAUGGCAGAGGGGGGUAGAAUUCCACGUGUAGCAGUGAAAUGCGUAGAGAUGUGGAGGAAUACCGAUGGCGA
rnacentral:rRNA from 1 species